UACGUAGGGUGCGAGCGUUGUCCGGAAUUAUUGGGCGUAAAGAGUUCGUAGGCGGUCUGUCGCGUCGAAUGUGAAAACCCGGGGCUCAACUCCGGGCUUGCAUUCGAUACGGGCAGGCUAGAGUUCGGUAGGGGAGUCUGGAAUUCCUGGUGUAGCGGUGAAAUGCGCAGAUAUCAGGAGGAACACCGGUGGCGAAGGCGGGACUCUGGGCCGAUACUGACGCUGAGGAGCGAAAGCAUGGGUAGCGAACAGG
rnacentral:rRNA from 1 species